rnacentral:rRNA from 1 species
GAUGAACGCUGGCGGCGUGCCUAACACAUGCAAGUCGAGCGAACCCUUCGGGGUGAGCGGCGGACGGGUGAGUAACGCGUGGGUAACCUGCCCUGUACACACGGAUAACAUACCGAAAGGUAUGCUAAUACGAGAUAACACGUAAUGAUCGCAUGGUCGAUACAUCAAAGCUCCGGCGGUACAGGAUGGACCCGCGUCUGAUUAGCUAGUUGGUGAGGUAAUGGCUCACCAAGGCGACGAUCAGUAGCCGACCUGAGAGGGUGAUCGGCCACAUUGGAACUGAGACACGGUCCAAACUCCUACGGGAGGCAGCAGUGGGGAAUAUUGCACAAUGGGCGAAAGCCUGAUGCAGCAACGCCGCGUGAGCGAUGAAGGCCUUCGGGUCGUAAAGCUCUGUCCUCAAGGAAGAUAAUGACGGUACUUGAGGAGGAAGCCCCGGCUAACUAC